CAGCAGCAGCCGCGGGAAUACGUAGGGCGCAAGCGUUGUCCGGAAUUAUUGGGCGUAAAGAGCUCGUAGGCGGUCUGUCGCGUCUGGUGUGAAAUCCCGAGGCUCAACCUCGGGCUUGCAUCGGGUACGGGCAGACUAGAGUGCGGUAGGGGAGACUGGAAUUCCUGGUGUAGCGGUGGAAUGCGCAGAUAUCAGGAGGAACACCGAUGGCGAAGGCAGGUCUCUGGGCCGCAACUGACGCUGAGGAGCGAAAGCAUGGGGAGCGAACAGGAUUAGAGACCCCCGUAGUCCCUGUCUCUUAUAC
rnacentral:rRNA from 1 species